UACCAGCACCCCGAGUGGUCGGGACGAUUAUUGGGCCUAAAGCAUCCGUAGCCGGCCUUACAAGUCCUCCGUUAAAUCCAGCUGCUUAACAGAUGGGCUGCGGAGGAUACUAUAAGACUAGGAGGCAGGAGAGGCAAGCGGUACUCAGUGGGUAGGGGUAAAAUCCGUUGAUCCAUUGAAGACCACCAGUGGCGAAGGCGGCUUGCCAGAAUGCGCUCGACGGUGAGGGAUGCAAGCUGGGGGAGCAAACCGG
rnacentral:rRNA from 1 species